CUCAGGUACUGAAUCACCUGUCGCAGAUCACCGCAAACAGACGACGAUGAAGCCAUUGCGGUCAACGGCGUUCCGGCCACUCCACGUCGAUUCCAGAUCACCGGCUGAUGUCCCUGGUGAACAAGCGAUCGACAAACGGCCUGAAUCAACGGGGAUGCCAUUCGAGGCAGCAGUUGUAUCCAGUCAAGAGAAACCAGACCACCAUCUUCCAUCAGGAGGUAUUCACGUAAAAAACGAACUUGACCCGUCCAUCGAGUACAAGUUUGAGUGGCUAUUGUAGCCACCAAAAUGAGCAAUGCCCGCCAGCUACCGGUCACUAGAGUCCAGCAACCGGGAACGGUGUAAGCGGCUCGUAGAGCAGGUAACGUGCUGAUUAAUCUCUCGGACAAAGAAGAAGGACGAUAAUGCAAGGACGGAUAAACCGGAUCGCCCUGUUCCAGGACGAAGAACACCAAAAGUCGGAGUAGAGCGACAGACAAGAGGCAGCCCAUCAUUACAAUUAGGAAUGGCCUGAAAAUCGUGCUGAUGAAAGGCAGGACGACUUCCAUCAGUGUCUCCAUUUUUCCGAAAUGAUUGCCAAUUUGGAUGAUAUACGAUUCAAAACGGAAUCGGAUGAACAAGAAUCCUAAGUCAUUUCAAUGUUCCCGUUAGAUUAAACAAGGCAACUGAUAUCAAUAAUGACAUGUUAAGCAUAUGCGUACAAAAAACGCAGUGAAAACAAAAGAAGAAGAACAAAAAAAUUAUCAAGUUCCAAUCGAGAUGUCCUUGUUCUCCGUUGUUCUCUUCCAACUUAUAUUGUUACACCAUUCCACAUCCCCCCCCUCGUUAAAGAGGAAAAAUUUGCAUAUUAUAAAAAAGACAAAUGAAUAAAUAAUCAAAGGCCUA